ACAAAAUUAAAGUAUUUCAAAGUACAUCUUAAUUAGAAGAAUGGCAAGCAAAAUAACUUUCUGUGCUCUACUCUUUUGCUUUUUUCUCAUGUUUGCUUCUGAGAUGCAGAUAACAGAAGCGAAAUACUGUAGAAAGCCUAGUAAAGGGUGGAAUGGGAAAUGUUUUGAAAAAAAAUGUGACAAUUGGUGCAAAAAUAAGGAUCAUGAAGAUUAUGGAGAUUGUUACAAGGGAUAUUGUUACUGCUAUUAUAAAUGUUGAAACCUAAAAUAAUGAAGCACAAUAUAUGGCCAUAAGACUUUACUUAUGGCACAAUGUGUCUUAUAUAAUGUAUGAUUGAAUAAAAGUCUGCGAUUACAUGUUUAAUAUCGCAAGAAUAAUGAUCAUAAAUUAUUUAUGGUCUAAAUGUUUGUAACUUGAUGUUUUAUAUAUGAAAGAUAUGGUAU